UGAAGUACUAGCAAAUAUACACACAGAUGUAGUCUCUGCGCUGAAGGGCCUUGCAUUGUUCAAAGGUCAUCCUAAAAUAGGCACGCAAGUAGGCAAAUAAGCUCACAAAUAAGAUAAUUUUAGAUGAUGAUAAGAGGCCAAAAGCAAAUAAAACAAGGCAAGAGCGUAACAGAGUGAACAGCAUCAGAGUGGGUGUUCAAGAAUAGUCUCUGUAGAGUGACCGCAUGAGGAUAAGAAGUCAGCAAGAGGACAAGGAGCCAGCAAGAGGAGAUGCUUGGGAGGCCAGCCUUGGAAGGACUGAAGACAGAAGAGCUGCAGGCAGAGUCCAAGCCCAGCAAUUGCCCAGAAAGAGAUCACUCCUUCAGCCCUAUACCAAAUGAAGAUUAUGCAGAUGCAAAGGACCAAGGGCUUUGGCCAGCUAUGAGAGACCCCUGCCAUGAACGGGAAAUAGGGGAGUAGGUGUAUACGAGUGCAUGUAAAUGUAAAAUAUAUGUUCAUGCAGGUGGGUGUGCAUGUAUACACGAGUGUAUGUCUUUAUGAAUUUCUGUCUCGUGAUUCAAUCCUGGAGUCAAUUGUAUUCCUUUAGAAACUCACUAUAGAAAAAUCCACGUUCUUCACCUUCAUAAGUCAUUGUGAGGUCUGCGGGACCUCAUAAGUCAUUGUGAGGCUGUCUCUAACCCGCUAAAGGUUAUCUGCCUUUACCCUAUCCCUCUGCCAUUUUCAUUGUUCUUAAUUGUACCCUGUUCAUUGAAGUGUUUCUAACUUUGUUUAUCCUUUUUCUUACAGGAGAAACAUAGAAAAAUAACUGCAGUUAGUUCUUUCAAGGUUGUGACAAUAACAAAGAUGAGGAGCUUGGGCCCAAGUCCCCAGGUCCCCGAGGACAGCAGAACUGGUGUCAGCUGCCACGGCUAUGUUUUGUGUGCGACACUAACAAGUGGUAACCAUGGGGUUUUGUGAGUUUCCUUGCCCUACUUGGCCUCACACAGAGGUGCCAGCAAGUAAUGAAGUCCCCAGGCAAGUGCAUCAGCUUUGGACAAGAGCUUGGCUGUGUUCAAUGUCAUGAGCCCCUUAUACAAUGUCACAGGGUGACUCCUGUCUUUGAGUACUCACAAAGUGCACAGGCAGGCACUUAGGAGUUCUCAUACCUGAAGGCUGCUGCUAUGUUUCCCAAUCAUCCCUUGCUGGGAGAGCGGAAACUGUGGUUAGACAAAUUAAUCCUAGGAGAAGUUAAGCAAUUGUCAUCUCAGAGAAGAGCUUCUAUGCCCUCAAGGCCCUGAAAACCACAUACAGUCAAAAUCUCACAUUUAAUUUAUAUUAAGCAUGGAAUUAAUAAGAGCCCAUGGUAAUAAAUUGUCAGGGAAAGAAAUGAAAAGAAGAUAUCAUACAAUAUUUAUGUAAUAAAAAUAAUCACCUUCAUUAAUAUAACCCACAUUUUUUUCUUGGUAGGACCUAGUAAUAAAAAGCAUUUAAAUCACUGUUAGGAGAUUACUAUACUUUAUACAAUACAUGUAAAGACUAAACACACUGCUUUUGUCAAAAGCACAAUAUCCUGAAAUAAAUGACCUCAGAAAAAAAUAAAAUGUGCUUCUGAAUAUUUCUCAAUUUCUAACAGAAAAUUCAACAUCUAUCUAUUCAAUAAAUUAUCCUUUCCCGAACAUGUUUGAAAUUUUAUAAUGAAUGCAGCUGGCAGAAAAAUUGAAAUGUAAUUGAGUGACAUCUUUUAAUCAUAUCAUAGGUUGGAGCUGGGAAAUGUAAACAAGAGAGGUGGCUCCAGGAUUUCUUCUAUCGCUCAUCUUAAAUGGCUGGCUGCAUUGUUUUAGUCACUGAACAAACCCAUCUAGGUUUUAUAUGAAGGCAAGCUGGUUUUCUCUUGAAGGAAGAGUCAUAAAUGACACCAAUGUAUUUGCAACUGUGAGUUCCCUAUCUUUAUGCUGCCAGCAAUUUCAAUUUAAAAAAAACCAUUAGAGAAGCUGUAAUAAAAUCAUCUCUAAGUGGAAGGAAUGUGAUUAGGGAAAGCAGGAUUCUAAACCCCAUUUAAUUGCAGGAGUUUGGAGAGGUUUGCUGGUGUGUGUGUGCCUUGCAGUUCCCUAACAUCUUGAGAUGUGACCUGGACUGAAACCUUAAAGGCUAUUAACAGUAUUUUGUAUUCCCAGGUUUCCAAGGCAACGGUGGCAGCAAUUCUGUGAAUAGCUCUUCCAUUUUUCCUUCAAGACUUUCAGGCUGUGAAAUUGUUUUGCUUUCAAAAACUAUUCUUUCUUUAAAAAAUAAUACAUGCAUUUAGAUUCAUUGUGAGAAGAUCUUUAUAAGUUAGGCAUAUUUCCAGGAUGUUAGUCCAAUAAGUAAACAGUUUUGCUACUAACAGGCUGUGCAAUUUUGGGUAAGCCAGUUAUCCUCCGUAAGUUUCAAUUCCUUCAUCUACAAAAUAUAAACAAAAAUCAUAUCUCUACAAUAGGGUUGUGAGAGAUGUAUGUGAAAUGUUUGGCACAAUCUAUGGCUUGUGAUUAUGAUUAGUGAUUGUUCUGAAUGAAAAUUUGGUCAGUUGGGAUGCCAGGUGAGGUUGUAACUGUUCAAAAUGAAGGCAAUGCCCCUUCAGCAUCAACAAAGUCUGUAGACAUGCCCCUCCUAUUAAUCCUGAUAUUGAAAAUGUGUGUUUUCUCAUUUUUUCCUAAGUGUUUGUUUGUAUCUUUGUAUUUAAAGUACAUCAUGUAUAAAUAGCAUGUAUUUGAGUUUUGUUUUGUUUACUCAAUAAAAAGUUCUGCC
rnacentral:lncRNA from 1 species